AUGCACUAGACAGGGAGUUAGCGGUGCCUUGUAACCUGCAAUCCGCUAUAGCAGGGUUUAAUCCCCAAGUGAGGGCUUAGAAUUUUUAUUAAGACCUUUAAGAUUGGUGUUGAUUGUUAGAACUUACGCAACAGAAAGCUGUGAACCAUGUCAGGACGGGAACGUAGCAGCAUUAAGCAGUACUUUCUGUGUGCCGUAAGCCAACCUAACAUGAGUCAGUCUUUCUGGACACUGUUAAAAAUGCUAAGUUCGACCUUGGGUGUGCUU
rnacentral:SRP_RNA from 1 species